rnacentral:rRNA from 1 species
GAGGGGCCCGCGCCCGAUUAGCUUGUUGGUAGGGUAACGGCCUACCAAGGCUUUGAUCGGUAGCCGGUCUGAGAGGAUGGCCGGCCACACUGGAACUGAGACACGGUCCAGACUCCUACGGGAGGCAGCAGUGGGGAAUCUUGCGCAAUGGGCGAAAGCCUGACGCAGCGACGCCGCGUGGGGGAUGAAGCCUUUCGGGGUGUAAACCCCUUUCGACCCGGACGAAUGGCCCGCAAGGGAAUUGACGGUACGGGUAGAAGAAGCCCCGGCUAACUACGUGCCAGCAGCCGCGGUAAGACGUAGGGGGCCAGCGUUGCCCGGAAUUACUGGGCGUAAAGGGUCCGUAGGCGGUGCGGCAAGUCGGGGGUGAAAUCUCUGGGCUUAACUCAGAGGCUGCCUCCGAAACCGCCGUGCUCGAGUGCGGGAGAGGCGAGCGGAAUUGCAGGUGUAGCGGUGAAAUGCGUAGAUAUCUGCAGG